rnacentral:lncRNA from 1 species
CUGCUUCCUUUUGAGCUAGUCAAGCAGGCGUUGAACACGGACUGAGACUCUCCCGCCCCUUUGACAGCAAUUCCUGCACUUGACGUCGGAUCUCCUCAUUUUCAAAUGGGGAUAAGCGAGAAGCCGCUUUGCAGGGUAGACUCGCUCCUACCUGCAACUAAAUCUGCUUCUAUAUCCUCCUCUUAUCUUAGGGGGUAAUCAAGCCGGUACUUGUGGAUUCAGGGGCGGCAUCAAGUCGGAAGAGUGUCGCUGACGUCGGAUCUCCUCAUUUUCAAAUGGGAGGCGUUGAACACGGACUGAGACUCUCCCGCCCCUUUGACAGCAAUUCCUGCACUUGACGUCGGAUCUCCUCAUUUUCAAAUGGGGAUAAGCGAGAAGCCGCUUUGCAGGGUAGACUCGCUCCUACCUGCAACUAAAUCUGCUUCUAUAUCCUCCUCUUAUCUUAGGGGGUAAUCAAGCCGGUACUUGUGG